rnacentral:rRNA from 1 species
CGGAGGGUGCGAGCGUUGUCCGGAAUCACUGGGCGUAAAGGGCGCGUAGGCGGCGCGAGGAGUCAACGGUGAAAGCUCGGGGCUCAACCCCGAGUCGGCCGUCGAUACUCUCGUGCUGGAGCACUGUAGAGGCAGGUGGAAUUCCGGGUGUAGCGGUGGAAUGCGUAGAGAUCCGGAAGAACACCGGUGGCGAAGGCGGCCUGCUGGGCAGUAGCUGACGCUGAGGCGCGACAGCGUGGGGAGCAAACAGGAUUAGAUACCCUGGUAGUCCACGCCGUAAACGAUGGGCACUAGGUGCUUGGGGGAGCGACCCUCUGAGUGCCGGCGCUAACGCAUUAAGUGCCCCGCCUGGGGAGUACGGCCGCAAGGCUG